ACGGGUGAGUAACACGUGAGUAACAUGCCCUUCAGUGGGGAAUAGCCCAGGGAAACUUGGAUUAAUACCCCAUGGACUCGCAAGAGUAAAGAUGGCCGCAAGGCUGUCGCUGGAGGAUUGGCUCGCGCCCUAUCAGCUAGUUGGUGAGGUAACGGCUCACCAAGGCAACGACGGGUACCUGGUCUGAGAGGACGAUCAGGCACACUGGAACUGAGACACGGUCCAGACACCUACGGGUGGCAGCAGUCGAGAAUAAUUCACAAUGGGGGAAACCCUGAUGGUGCAACGCCGCGUGGAGGAUGACGGUCUUCGGAUUGUAAACUCCUGUCAUCCGGGAGUAAGACCUGACGGCGAAUAACCGGCAGGGUUGAUAGUACCGGAAGAGGAAGGGACGGCUAACUUCGUGCCAGCAGCCGCGGUAAUACGAAGGUCCCAAGCGUUGUUCGGAAUCACUGGGCGUAAAGGGUGCGUAGGCGGUUUGGUAAGUCAGAUGUGAAAUCCCGGGGCUCAACCCCGGAACUGCAUCCGAUACUGCCAGACUUGAGGACUGGAGAGGUGACUGGAAUUCUCGGUGUAGCAG
rnacentral:rRNA from 1 species